UCCGUAGGCGGUGCGGCAAGUCGGAAGUGAAAUCUCCAGGGCUUAACCCUGAGGCUGCUUCCGAAACUGCCGUGCUCGAGUGCGAGAGAGGCGAGUGGAAUUGCAGGUGUAGCGGUGAAAUGCGUAGAUAUCUGCAGGAACAUCCGAGGCGAAAGCGGCUCGCUGGAUCGCAACUGACGCUGAGGGACGAAAGCUAGGGGAGCAAACAGGAUUAGAUACCCUGGUAGUCCUAGCCCUAAACGAUCAGGACUGGGCGUGGGCCUCGUACGGGGCUCGUGCCGCAGGCUAACGCGUUAAGUCCUGCGCCUGGGGAGUACGGUCGCAAGGCUGAA
rnacentral:rRNA from 1 species